UUGAUUUAAAAAGUGUUAUUUUUUUGACUUUUAAGUGUAAUUUGACUUUUUAAAAGACUAAAAAUCAUAAAAAAAAAAAUCAUAUUUUCCUGACUUUUAAAAACUUAUAUUUUUCUUCUUUAUAAAAAAUUAUUUAAAAAAAAAAACUUUUGUAUUUCUUAAACGGCAUUUUCUACAAUUUUAGAAAAGUUAAAAUUAAAACUAAAAUAAAAAAAAGUUAAAAGCCAAAAAGUAAUUUAAAAAAAAUAAAUCACAUUUUUUUCCCUCUUUCACUUUCUCUUUGCUACUCGACAGCUGCAGUUUCCUAUGGCCACGGCGGAAGAUGGAAGGUCUCCUUAUGAAAGCGGCGGAGGGUUCCGUAAGAGGCUUUUCGGGCCAGGGUAUCAUAAGUUAAGGAAUGAUGUGGAUUUAUAUUAGGUUUUUCUGUAUUUCAUUUCUUUUCGAUUGAUUACUUUUUUUGCUUUGGCGCAUCCAUUUUACCAUAUCAUAGGUCAUGCAAGUAUGUUUUAGUUUGUUUUUGGAUGAUAUAUGAAUUCUGCACUUUUGAAUUGCUUAGGGGUUACUUUGGCUGUCAAAACAUAUGCUUAUCUCUUAUUAUGUUGUAGUUCUUAUUUAUAGAAAUGUUUGGAUG